rnacentral:rRNA from 1 species
CUAACACAUGCAAGUCGAACGGUAGCACAGAGGAGCUUGCUCCUUGGGUGACGAGUGGCGGACGGGUGAGUAAUGUCUGGGAAACUGCCCGAUGGAGGGGGAUAACUACUGGAAACGGUAGCUAAUACCGCAUAACGUCGCAAGACCAAAGAGGGGGACCUUCGGGCCUCUUGCCAUCGGAUGUGCCCAGAUGGGAUUAGCUAGUAGGUGGGGUAACGGCUCACCUAGGCGACGAUCCCUAGCUGGUCUGAGAGGAUGACCAGCCACACUGGAACUGAGACACGGUCCAGACUCCUACGGGAGGCAGCAGUGGGGAAUAUUGCACAAUGGGCGCAAGCCUGAUGCAGCCAUGCCGCGUGUAUGAAGAAGGCCUUCGGGUUGUAAAGUACUUUCAGCGAGGAGGAAGGCGUUGUGGUUAAUAACCGCAACGAUAGACGUUACUCGCAGAAGAAGCACCGG